UACGAAGGGGGCAGGCGUUGUUCGGAAUUACUGGGCGUAAAGGGCGCGUAGGCGGCUUAUCAAGUCAGGCGUGAAAUUCCCGGGCUCAACCUGGGGGCUGCGCUUGAUACCGAUGAGCUUGAAUGCGGGAGAGGAUAGUGGAAUUCCCAGUGUAGAGGUGAAAUUCGUAGAUAUUGGGAAGAACACCGGUGGCGAAGGCGGCUAUCUGGCCCGUAAUUGACGCUGAGGCGCGAAAGCGUGGGGAGCAAACAGG
rnacentral:rRNA from 1 species